rnacentral:rRNA from 1 species
UACGAAGGGGGCUAGCGUUGCUCGGAAUCACUGGGCGUAAAGGGUGCGUAGGCGGGUCUUUAAGUCAGGGGUGAAAUCCUGGAACUCAACUCCAGAACUGCCUUUGAUACUGAAGAUCUUGAGUUCGGGAGAGGUGAGUGGAACUGCGAGUGUAGAGGUGAAAUUCGUAGAUAUUCGCAAGAACACCAGUGGCGAAGGCGGCUCACUGGCCCGAUACUGACGCUGAUGCACGAAAGCGUGGGGAGCAAACAGG